rnacentral:snoRNA from 1 species
AAAUUCAGUCAGAAGCAUAAAGUUGCUUGCUCAAUCAUGAUUGAUAUUCAGUGCGCACUACAACUGUUCCUUCAUCAC